AUAUAUAUUAUAUAUCCAGACGGCAUGAUAGAUCAUUAGAUCCUACACACAUUUUUUUUCUCUCCUUGUUUUUUUCUGUGUAUCUUUCUGUUGAAGAGCGUAGGCUUGAAACGUAAAAGACUUUUUCUAUUCCUGAGCGUUAUACUAAUACAUCUGUUUGUUUGUACU